AAAAAAAAAAAAAAAAAAAAAAAAAAAAAAAAAAAACCUAACCAUCAUCUGAGCCUGCAGCAAGUCAUAGUAGUAACAGUAAAGACCGCUGAUCACAGAGCACCAUGGCAAACACAGUAACAAUGACAAAGUUUGAAAUAUUGUAGGACUUAGCAUAAUGUGACACAGAGACAUGAAAUGAGCAACUGCUUUUGGAAAAAAUGGUACAGAGAGACUUGCUCACCACAGGGUUGCCACAAACCUUCAGUUUGUAAAGAACACAGCGUCUGUGAAGCACAACAAAACAAAGUGUCCCUGUGAUGCUGGCUGCUAAAAUGGGCCAGCAGAUCCUCACCUUGGGCUGCCAGAGCUUCCCAACCCCCCAGCUGGCCACUCCAUAAGUGACAUCAGCCCUGGGAGUAUCAUGUAUCAUAGUGAUGCCUAGUGAUGGGUUUCCAUGGUGACAACCAAGUCCUCAAGAAAAAAUUGCAUAGUCAGGAAAGUAUACAACACAAUUUUUUAACUUUGUUAAAAUAUUUUAAAUGGGAAGAAAAAAAAAAAGCGUUUCAAGGAAUUCCCUUGUGGAAGCAUGGGUUAAAGAUCCGGUGCUGUCAUCACAGCAACUCAGGUCGCUGCCAUGGCAUGGGUUCAGUCCCUGGCCCAGGAACUUCUGCAUGCCACGGGCAUGGCCCACCUGUCCCCCGCCCCACCAAAAAAAAAUAUAUAUAUAUAUUCCAAGAGGCAGUGCUUCCUGCUUUGGAAAAUUCUCUUAAAGGGGAUGCUGUAUUUCCCAACACUGUGGCUGAGUUCUUGCUGCAAGAAACAAACAUUUGUAAAAGUCUGACAAAGAUUUGUGAGCCAAAUGAGGAAGUUGGUAGAAGCAAGUUCUUUAGAAGUGUAAGAAACACCAGAAUAACACAGUUGUGGUUAUCGUUUAUUAGUUAUAAGAUGUUAAAGGAUUGGUGAGACCUCCUGGCUUUUGCUCCGUAUAUCACAAGUCUGUCUGUAACCAAAGAAUUAUAUAUAAUGGGGUGUGGAGAAUAUACAUGGGGAGUGGUAACAGACUCUAAAAGAGAGAGAGAGAAGGCGGCUUUUAAGUACAGGAUGGCACUUCCUUUCUGCCAUGGUGAUACAUGAUCUAGUGCUCUGUGGUGUGCAAAAUGUUACUGGUUGUCAUAGCAAUGGAACACCAUCCCGGAGAAAGGAGGAAACGCUGGCAUAAGACGCUUGGCUGGAAUAGAACUCCGAUUCUAACAAAACCAUCAUUGUUCACGCUGUAUUUGUUGUCAAAUAGUAAAACCCUUGCUAUUUUUUUUUCCCCCUGAUAAUGCUGCAUAACCCUGACACCAUCCCAGGGCUUGUAUUACACACACAGGCUUCUGGCUUCGUUGGAGCGUUUUGUACCUAUUGCUUCUUUUGCUCAAUGACACAAAAAUUGGUUCUGUUUUGAAUGCCUCCCUGAACACUUUCAGCCACUGGCCCAGUGCACCAAGCUUCAGAGUUUGAGCGCUUUCUCCGGAGAGCCUGUAAUUAAUUUCCGCUUCUCUGUGCUGUCAAGGUUGCUUCCCCUGGUCAUUUUUCAGUCAUUGUUAUAUCUCCUUAGCCCCUGAGUGAAGAGCCCUUCCAGAAGAGGCGUCUGAACUGAAGCGAAUCUUUGCUUUCUGGUGGUUCUCAGGCCAGUCUUCUGGCAGAGUCUCUGAUGUGUCUGUCCCAUCUUUUAAGUGUGUAUUGGAUGCAACUGGUGCAAGGUCCUCUGAUAGGACUCCCCAUGUUCAGUUGCCUGGGUGGUGGGUUGGCACCAAAGUUUGCAAAGGGAGCCAAGGCCAGGAGUACCAUGUGGGUCCAGAUCAGCCCUCCUUGCCACAGGCAUGGCCGUAUCCUCCUCCUCAGCAUUCAGCCCACGAAUACACAUCCUUCACCCGGCGAGGUGUGGAGCAAGUAGUGGGGAAAGAGUCAUGCGUGUGUACACAGCCCACACGCGUCCAUCACACCAGCCGCAAACACAGCUCGAGUGGCAGAUCCUGAAGGUGAUGGUGCUUGGGUUGCACCAUUUUGGUCCGAUGCCAGUGCUAGGGAACGUCUCAGUGCCAGGCACCCGCCUCCGUGCUCUUACACAUCUGCCCAUCUCGGCCUCGCUGCAGCCCGUUUGGCAGACAAAGGAGGCUGACACACACAGAGGUUAAGAAUCUUGACUGAGAUGACGCUGGGGCUGGGCCCUGAGUCUGUCCUCCCAGCCGUGCUGCCACUUCCAGGAUCUGAAGUGGAACGAAAGAAGUCCUGCUAAAUCCAUCUAGAGAACUGGGCCCCUCCUAGGGGGACCGCUGGGCCCGUGGUGCAAAAUGAAGAAAAAUACAGUGGUAAGAAAAGAGCAGGGGAGGGUCUUUGAAACUAAAUGAGAAAUCCCUGCUUGCAGAAAAGCAAAAUAAAACAAAAAGUCCUGCUCAUAAGUUUUUAUCAAUAUGGAAUUUCGAUAUAUACAUUGUUAUCAAUACACCGUUAGCAUAAAGAGGAUAGUAAGCUGCAAGCAGAAUAUCAGCACUGCGAGGGACAGGGACCCUGCCCCAUGCUUUGUCUCACACACAGCUUCUGGCACAUCUAGUUCCAUGAGAUCUCAGCCCCACACCCCAUAAUCUCCAGGCCACCCCAGAUGCAGUAUCCCCUUGGUCAAAUGGAAUGUCAGACUUACCCAAGCUAUAGUGACAACUCUAAUAAUGGCUGAUACUAUUCGACUGGGUCUAUGUACCAGGCAUUGUUUGAAGUGCUUUUUGCAUGUAUCAACUUGGUUGAUAGGCCCAGCAUCCCCGUCACAGAGAAGGAUGCUACUUUGCAUUUUCUGGUUAAGAAAACCAAGGCAGAGAGAGGUUAAGUCAACUUGCCCCAGGCUGCACUUCUAGUUCAGGGCCAAGGUAACAGCCAUCCAUUCAGCAGAUAUUUGAUGAGAGCCCGCUGUGUGAGAUGCUGCACUGCUCCUGGCUCCUGGAGUGUGGUGAUGAGCAAGCAGAUGAGGCCUUUCCCCAAGGGGCUGGCAUUCGCGCAGAUGUGCAUGCACACACAAGUUAGAAGCUCCGAGCGCCUCUGAUGAUGUCUAUCCAGUAUUAAGGAGAGCUAGGAAUUUCUUAGCAGUGAAAAGGAGUUGACAGAGAUGUCAGGUCAGAGGAACUGGGUCUGUUAGAUAAAAGCAGCAAAUAAGGAUAAAUAGGCUCAGGUUAUAGAAGACCUGGGAAGCAGGAGAGUCUUCGCUGGGGAUUGGAUUGAGAAUGGAGGUUGUGUGUAGAAACACAGUCGUGUUACGCUUGCCCCUGAUGACACCCAGCAUUGCCUGGCAGCACACGUGCAGCGGACUAGUCCAGGCCUCUCGUUUCACAGACAGGAAAGCAAGGCCGGAAAGUUCCUUUAGGAUGCACUCUCUGGAAGAGCCAUCCCACGUGUGUUUGCUGAGGCUUUCUUUACAAAAGCCCCAAGUUGGAAACAGCCUAAAUAAAUAUCCAUGCCCAGGAAAACAGCUGAAAUAAACUAUUCAGCCAUGAAAGACGUGCACUCCAUCCCUCUGUACCCCAGAUGGAGAGAGGCCAGGCCUUACAGGUGGAUGAAUGAAAGACAUACAUUGCCAAGGGAUGUGCGAGUCUGUCUCCACUAGGCAAAGACAGCGACCCUCGAUCGUUUGGAAAGACACAGAAUCUUCUCUUCUUGUCUGCAGAGGAAAAGCUCUACACACCGAGCUUCUAGGGAAGGUCCCCUCCAGUCAAGGGGCAAGGCCAUGGGAUUUUAUGACGGCCUGAUUUUUAAAAUAAGUGACCACAUUCUUGUAGUCAUCGUGUGAUUAAAAAUUACAUUAAAAAGGAAGGUUCAUUGGCUUGUCUGAUUGUAUCCAUUGAGUUAGUUGAAAAGUCAAGUCUAGCACCACUCAAGUCUCCUGGCUCCCAGUCCCCAUUCAGACACCCAAAUAUUCAAGCAUGGAGAGAUGGGGUGAAGGGGUAUCAAGAGCUUUGUAGCCCGCCAGAUACUGUUAAGGAAUACCAGGAACCAUAUACAUGUCAAUGAGUUAAACAGGGUUUUGCUAGAUGAGUGUGUGUGUGUUUCAAAAGACUCCAGUUUCUAAAGGCAUUAGUAUUCCAGGCAGCUGAAUCCCAGGCUGGAGAAAGGUACAAAUGAUGAUUGCUCAUUAGCAAAUAGAAUACAGAUGUUCGGUUCAUUUUGCCUGAGUGCAUUGGCACCUUGGGGAGCCGCCGGCUUAGUGAGCCAGGCCCGCAGUGACGCUGCCACCUCAGCACAGGGGAGGGGUCUGCAGAGGGGAGAGGGGAACAGGUCACCUCAGAGCCUAUAGUAGGGGUGAGGGGGCUUGGUUUCCAUUGAUGGUUUGUUGGGACUGAUUGGUGGAAGUGGGAAGCUAACAUUCCUAAAUCAAUGAACCAAAACUCUGUGUGUGUCUGUGUUUAGGGCUGCACUCAUGGCAUAUGGAAGUUCCCAGGCUAGGUGUCUAAUCAGAGCUGUAGCUGCCGGCCUACACCACAGCUCACGGCUACGCCGGAUCCUUAACCCACUGAACAAAGCCAGGGAUCAAACCCUUGUCCUCAUGGAUACUACUCAAGUUUGUUACCAGUGAGCCACAAUAGGAACUCCCCAAAACUUUUUAAACAUAUUUUUUAUCGUAUACUUUUUUGUUGAAUUCUUAACAACCACCCUUAGCACUAGGGUAUAUGUUUCCUUUUGGAAAGGACAUCAAGGCUCAGAGAGGGAAAGGACUUGCCCCAGAGUCACACAGCAGCGGCAAUGUGAAUUAGAACCCACAUGUGUCUGGCUCCAGAACUCAGACUUUUGGGUGCUCUUCCCAUUAGCAACUGGGGAUAAGGAAGACAGACAACACGUUCGGAGGUCUCUCAUACUCUUGCAAUUUUCCUAAGACAUCUGUCUCUUUUGCAGUUUCUAGGACUUUUGUGUCUGAUUUUUUCAGGAGCCUCAGAAAAGAUAAAUGAAGGUGUUCUCUUAAACAAGACCUGCGCAAAAAAGGUCCAAACUGGAGAAGGACAGAUUCGAAAGAUAGGAAGAUGCUAUUUCAACACUUCUGGCCCUUUCGGAAUCCUCUGGCCUCGUUGCUGGACCACGAAAGCAGAAAAUCAAAUGGUCAUGGAAGCUCUUCCUGACCGUUCCACACCACAGGGAAGGAUGUGUAGAGGUUGGAAUUUCAUUACGGGGUGGGUUCAGUUUUCCUAGGAGGAAAGGCUGGGAAGGGUUUCCAGGUUGGCAGCAACAUGAAUUAAAACACCCACGAGGAGUGCCCAGGCUGGCUGGAGGGGCAGGUUGCUCCGUAAGCAUGGCAGUUCCUCUGGCUUUGAAUGCCAGGUGGAAGGUUGGCCCCCGUCUUACAGGAUGCAGAAGAGCCGGCAGAGGUUUGGAAGGAAUUGGGGGUUCCCGAGGCUGGUGCCAUGUGGACCGUGGUUUAGCAGGGAGAGAACUCAGGGCAGUGAGACCCGGUUGAAGGUGAUUCCUAAGGUUUCGGCAUGAGCUGGGGAACAGUGGGUUGGGGUGAGUGGUGGUGGCCUGGAUGCCUUUGUAGUAUACUGCGUAAGGUGGCCCAGGAUGUAAUAUAAUAGUGUAAUAUAAUAGUGUAGAGACUCCUUAUCUGCCAAGACACCCCCCCGCCGUGCCGACCUAGCUCUGAUAGAUUAUUUUGCCUUGGGUAGAAUGUGGGGGUUUUAAAGAUUUUUGUUUGUUUGUUUUGUUUUUUGUGUUUAUCCUUAGGGAUGGUGGAAAGUUUAUACGCCACCAAGACGUAAUGUCUUUUAUUGCUCAAGUGUUAUUCUUCCCUAUUCUAUACACACACAUACCCGCACACACCACUUCUAAACUACGUGUGUGUCUGUUCACACCACGUCCUCUGAAGUGCCUGUUAACCAGCUUUCAUAGAACGGACGUGUACCUCUAGUGAGUUGAGCCCGACCUGUUCCCUGGGCCCCAGCCGGGAAGGCAUCGAGCUGCCCACCUCCUCUUUUUGCGCCUGGUCAGGAAUGUCCCGCUUCUCACUUUUGCCUCUGUAGCAUCUCUCAGCAAGUUAAUUAACUUUUUUCAAGAGAAGCUAAGGCUCCUUUCUUAAGAAGAUCCCGGUCUCUCUUCAGAGUGAAAUGAGGUUGUUUGAGAUCCCAGGGCCCAUGUCAUUAUAACAUCUGCCCAGCUGUUAAAAUCUGAGGACAGCAAGUCAUCAGCAUUUGUCACCAUCUCUUUACCUCCACCCACCACCCAGCCCACAUAGGGGACGUCACUUCAAUCCCGGGGUCCAGCAGAUUCUCUUGACUGCCAUGCGACGGCAGUCACUUUCCUUCUGCAUCUGGGCCGACGGGGAUAAAUAGCUGGGGCAUGCCUGCCUUAUGAAAAAACACAACCAAGCUUCGAGAAACAAUUGAUUCUAACUUCCUGUUAGAGACAGAAAGUUUUUACUGUCGCUUUCACUAAAUUCUUGUCCAAGAACUUUCCCACCUUAUUAAAUGGAUAGAAUCCAGUGUGGUCAGACGCAUUGUGCCUUGGGGAUAUAAAAUUAAUUUAGAACCGACAUUCUCAGUCGUGGAAGCCUUUUAUAUAAUGAUGUGAAAAUUGUUCUGCUUUUGAAAACCAAAAUCAAACAUGAAACAGUGUGUGUCUCUGUAAAGAAGGCAGAUCUCUUGCUAGGAUAUUACUUUGGCUUUCUGCCAAAAAAAAAAAAAA
rnacentral:lncRNA from 1 species